CCAAGGUUAGAGUUGGUUGGUGCACACAUGGCCACCAACCUGGCAGUAAAUGUGCGUAACGCCCUUCCGAAGGUUCCAGUGCCAUCUAUUCACGCAUGGAUCGACAGCAUGGUUGCGCUACAUUGGAUAUGUGGAAAUGGAAUGUAUAAACAAUUCGUAGCCAAUCGUGUGGCCAAAAUACAAGCUCACCCGGAAGUCCAGUGGCGGUAUGUGCCCACAUACGAUAAUCCUGCUGACAUAGCAAGUCGUGG